rnacentral:lncRNA from 1 species
UGCAUGGAGCUGCAACGCGUUUCGCGGGUUGCAAGUUUAAAUAUACAUAGUUUAAACCCAAUAACCUUAAUUUUAACUUUUUAUUAGAUGCUGCGCAUAUAAUUUUCAAGUGUAACCGGUAUAGGAUGUCCCUUAAGCAGAAACAGCUCCAAGUCCUCCAGCACAAGUGGACAAAGUUUGGUCUCUUCGGCAAAGGAAAAGGCUCUGCCGCUCACGUGAUUCGCACCAAUCCCAAUGCAUUGCAAAGUUCCGUUUUGCUGGUAUGCGUGUGUGCGUGCCGAGCCCUGGUCUACACAGAGGCAUCUGCUUGGCAGGAAGUAGCAGAGCUGGUGGUACUUUUAUCGCUGGUAUCAAAUUACAAUUAACUCACAUUUUUAAUUUUUUUU